rnacentral:rRNA from 1 species
UACGUAGGCAGCGAGCGUUGUUCGGAUUUACUGGGCGUAAAGCGUGCGUAGGCGGUGUUCCAAGUCUGUUGUGAAAUCUCCCGGCUUAACUGGGAGGGUGCGGCGGAAACUGGAACGCUGGAGUAUGGGAGAGGUAAGCGGAAUUCCCGGUGUAGUGGUGGAAUGCGUAGAUAUCGGGAGGAACAUCAGUGGCGAAAGCGGCACCCUGGCAUUUGCCUGACGCUCAUGUGCGAAAGCGUGGGGAGCGAACCGG